rnacentral:rRNA from 1 species
GGCGGCAGCCUAAACAUGCAAGUCGAACGAGACCUUCGGGUCUAGUGGCGCACGGGUGCGUAACGCGUGGGAAUCUGCCCUUGGGUUCGGGAUAACAGUUGGAAACGACUGCUAAUACCGGAUGAUGACUUCGGUCCAAAGAUUUAUCGCCCAGGGAUGAGCCCGCGUAGGAUUAGCUAGUUGGUGAGGUAAAGGCUCACCAAGGCGACGAUCCUUAGCUGGUCUGAGAGGAUGAUCAGCCACACUGGGACUGAGACACGGCCCAGACUCCUACGGGAGGCAGCAGUGGGGAAUAUUGGACAAUGGGCGAAAGCCUGAUCCAGCAACGCCGCGUGAGUGAUGAAGGUCUUCGGAUCGUAAAACUCUGUUAUUAGGGAAGAACAUAUGUGUAAGUAACUGUGCACAUCUUGACGGUACCUAAUCAGAAAGCCACGGCUAACUACGUGCCAGCAGCCGCGGUAAU